GGACCCCACUGCUAUCGGGAUGGGACUAAGACAUGCUAGUCAAGCGCCUUCCAGCCAUGUGGAAGGUGCGGCGCACAGCUCAGUAACACGUGGCCAACCUGCCCUUGAGACAGAAACAACCCCGGGAAACUGGGGCUAAUUUCCGAUAGGCGAAGAACCCUGGAAUGGGUCUCCACCCAAAGGGCGUCAGAUCAUGCUUCUGGCGUUGCUCAAGGAUGGGGCCGCGACCGAUCAGGUUGUUGGUGAGGUAAUGGCUCACCAAGCCUAUAACCGGUGCGGGCCGUGAGAGCGGGAGCCCGGAGAUGGGCACUGAGACAAGGGCCCAGGUCCUACGGGGCGCAGCAGUCGCGAAAACUUUGCAAUACACGAAAGUGUGACAGGGUCAUCCCGAGUGCCGACC
rnacentral:rRNA from 1 species